UCAUCAUCAUCAUCAUCAUCAAAAGGCAGUAUUGAGCCACCAAAACUACAGCCUGGCAUCCUACGUAUCUCCCAAUGCGAUUUCAGAAAGAACAUUCGACUUUGGUUACACAGAAAAAUGGCUAGUGAGGGCAUCGUGGAGUCAACCAGCCUGGGUGCAAACCUCAACAGGAUCAUGUACUAAUCAGGUGCUCUUAGGAUCAAGAAGGCCUCCACACUUCCUAGGCUGAUGUCAUGAAGGGCCGUCAGCUUUCCCAUAUGAUGCCCCUCUGUAUCCCUGUCACAGGUAACUGCGUGGGUUGGGCGCACCAUGGGACCAGCCCAAAUUGCUAGGGAAGAGCACCCACAAGGGAAUUGGGAAACCUGAGUGGAAGGCCUGUCCCUGUGUGAUCUUGUCACUUUCCCUCUCCAAGCCUCGGUUUCCUAUCUGUUAAAUGAGCACAUUGGUUUAGAGAUUCUUUAAGGUCUCUUCCAUCUCUGAACAUUCUCGGGUUCUCACAUCCAAAGGGAGACAGUCAAGAUGCAAAAAGUAAAACCUAGGUACUCAGCUCAGUGUCUGGGGUGCAGUUGAAGGAGACAUCUUGCAGGCUCCUAAGUUCCAGGGCUCUAACCCUGGACCCUUGGCCUAGAAGAGACCAUAAGGCCAGGUGUCCAGCCUGCCAUCUCCCGCUGAGCACACUCCCCACACCCCAGGCUAGAAAUUGCCCCCUAGAGCAGAGAGUGGUGUUAAACAGCUUGGGCUUUGAAUCCACAUUGAAGUUCUGACCCUGUCACAGAGAACGCAGGAUAGUGAGAGAGACAAGUGCUUGGGCUCAAGGCUCAAAGACUGAAACUCAGAUCCAUGCGCCUCUGGGCAAGUUAUUUAAUCUCUCUAACUUUGGUCUCCUUAUCUGUUGAAUAGAAAUGAUAAUAAUAGUCCAAAUUGCAUAGGGCUGCUGUGAAGAUCAGAUAAGAUAGUGCCUGUAAAGCACCUAACCCAGGCUCUUGGUCAAUAUGUAGAAGCUGUUGUUGUUGUUGUUGUUGUUGUUGUUGUUGUUGUUGUUGUUAUUGUUGUUGUUAUUGCCUACUCAUUGGAAGCUUUUCUUGAUGUUCAUGUGAACCAGGAAACACUGGAUUAUAAAUGUUGUGAUGGAGAGGGGGUGGGACACAUUGAUUGGAAACACCAAAUGGGGCUUCGAAGCCCUAGAGAUGGCCCUUGUAAUUAAGAGAGUAGCCCUAAAUUUGAGAACUCAGUCACCCCCCUGCAGGGGUUGAUGUAUGUACUACCCUGGGACACAGGGAGGCUGCCCAGGAGAGGCCACACCCUACCCCUGGACUGAGAGAAGGGCUUGCAGAGACCUCUCUGCCAUCCUCCUGUGAGGGCUGGCAUUUGUAGCCUGAUGGCCUUCUAUUGAUGGCUGUGGCCUAGGGCCACUUCAGCCUGUCACAUUGGACUUCUCUCCCUCCCCCAAAGGGAGAAGCCUUUGGCAGUCACCUCCUAGCAUGGAUUUGGCAUUUGCUCCUUGAAAAACUCCAGGCCAGCCGGAGUGUGGGGCAAAAUCUCCUCCCAUCUAGAUCAUGUGCUAGCUGCCUUGCUCUGCCAUCUUCCCACAGACAUGCUGGUCUCGCCUGCUGCCUUUGGCCCUGAAGUUGCAGCAGCUCUACAAGAGGCAGAGUCACUAUCUCCCCACUCCCACACCCCACCCUGGGCUCCUUCGGAAUCUGCACUCAGAGGGCUCCUCUAUGAACAGUGUCACAAGGCUUUGCCCUCUCAAAAAUAUCAUCUUCUCAAAAAAGCCUGUAUUAAGCACUUAUCGGCGCAUGGUGUUGUGCUGAGCUCUGUUUCUAGUGAGUCACACUGUCACAGGCUCUGCCCUCUGGGAAAAAGUCUGGAAUCUUUGGCAAAGACUGUAAACUCCAGUUUAGCUAAGUACUUGGUUGUUAGGAAGGAAGGAGUCUUUUAAAAAUGUCCCCAAGGCCAUUGGGCAGUGACCCUCUUCUACUUGUUUUCACCUCCCUUUUCCCACUUCUGGCUUUCUCCUCUCCUCUCCUCCUGUUCUCUCUCCUUCCUCUUGCCCCAAACUCCCAAACACUUUCUUUCUCCUCCAUCUGAAUUUCAGGUGGACUUAUUCUCCCUCUUUUAAAUCCAGAGAAUUCUUUGGCUCAAUGUGACACUUGAUUUUAAGCAAGCAAUAACAUUAAAUUUUAAGGUCUUUGAGGGUUUAAGAACACAUCCAUAAGUAUAUUUCUACUUUGGAUAUAAAAAGGCAUGUUUCAGGGUGCGCCUGGGUGGCUCAGUCGGUUAAGUGCCUGACUUCAGCUCAGGUCAUGAUCUCAUGGGUUCAUGAAUUUGAGCCCCACAUUGGUAUCUGCUGACGGUAUGGAGCCUGCUUGGGAUUUUCUCUCUCUGCCCCUCCCCCACUUCUCUCUCUCUCUCUCUCCCUCUCUCUCUCUGUAUCUCAAAAUAAAUAAACUUUAAAAAAAAUAGGGGUGCCUGUGUGGCUCAGUUGGUUGAGCAUCCAACUUCGGCUCAAGUCAUGAUCUUGCGGUUUGUGGGUGGGUUCGAGCCCCACAUCAGGCUCACUGUUGUCACCACAUAGCCCACUUCGGAUCCUCUGUCCCGCUCUCUCUCUGUCCCUCCCUCUCCCUCUCUCUCAAAAAUAAAUACACAUUUUUUUAAAAAAAUGAAAAUAAUAAAUUAAAAAGCCAUGUUUCAGAAAUUCCAGAAUCUUUUUUUUUUAGUUUUUUUAAAUGUUUAUUUAUUUUUGAGAGAGAACUCAAGCAGGAGAGGGGCAAAGAGAGAGAGGGACACAGAAUCUGAAGCAGGCUCCAGGCUCUGAGCUGUCAGCACAGAGCCUGACAUGGGGCUCGAACCCACGAACUGCAAGAUCAUGACCUGAACCAAAGUCAGACACCCAACUGAUUGAGCCACCCUGGCGCCCAGAAAUUCCAGAAUCUUACAACCUUACAUUAAAGAAGUUAGACACACUAGAGAAAGUCCUAACCAAGCAAACGUCAACAUACGAGCCCUAGAAAAAGAUACAGACAGCUACUUUGACUUUAAAAAGGAAAUGUAGCAAUUCCCCCCAAAAUGCAAGGGACAAACAAGGUCUCUAUUUCAAAACAGUGCCCCAUCUUCCUGACCCUGGGGCUCCGUUGCUCUCCAGAGCUCUCCCUUACCAGUACCUAGCUGCCCAUCUUCCUGACAUCCAGUGCCUCGGCCCAGUUUCCGAAGCCAUUUUAAAACACAUUCAUUUUAAUAAUCAAGGAAUCUGGAGUUGUGCACAGUUUAGUAUUUCAUCAUUCUCCCCCGUUACUCAGCCCUUCUCUCCACAUCACUCAGAAGAGGCACCUUGGGGUCAUUUGGGCUCCUGACCAGCAAGAGGGAAAUUGACCUCCACCCAACAGCCAGCGUCAGACCAUAGGCUCAAGGAAAACCCAGCUGUGGAUCCAGUAGAGUUGGUAUUUAGUGCCCAGGGCCUUUUGAGGUGCAUUCCUGCCCAUAAUCCUGCCCCCUCUGACCCCUGACACAUGAAGCUGCCCUUGCCAUGUCCUCCCUCUGCACCUAGAAAUGUAUCUGUCCUGUCGAGUUUCUACCUUUUCUGAACCAGCGUGAACACAAAUGGUCAGAUGAGAAUAUCUGUACUUAGCCAAUUUGAUAAAUAAGCUAAUGGGGGUGGGGAUGGGGGUGGGGGUGGGAAGGAGCAAGACACUUUCCUUGGCCCUCAGAUAAGUUGCUCUGCAUUUUUACAAGGGCCUGCUGAAGACAAUACCAACAGAAUGAGUAAUGAGGUAGUUCAUUCAUUAGGUAUCCCAGACAAAUAAACAAGAUACCAUUUGAGAGGAGACUGUUCCAAAAGAACAAGUUUGUUAGGAAGGGCUGGCGGGUGACCCUGCCUCAAUUGCUUUAAAAGGGCUCAUGGCUUUGUGCUGGAACCACCCCUCUUCACCCCUGUUCCACCUCACUCCUGAUCCUAACCAUAAACUGUAGUUUAAAAUAAAGCGGUUUUCAUUCACUGUGGAUUUUCAUGUUUUCCCCUUCUCUAAUGCCUCAGGGCUUAGCCAAAGUGGGUUUUUGCAGCCCACCAGCACCCAAGAAGUAGAAGAGACCUCAGGAUGUGCAAAGUGCUUUGGGAUCCAUCCCACAGACUGGGAGCAAGAGAUGCCUUAGCCUUAUACCUCCCUCUGCCCACAGGUGCCACUGCUCACGGCUCAGGGUCAAGGAUGGGAUCAAACAUGCUUUUCCUAUGGCAGGUGGCAGGCAUGGGCAAAGGGCAGGAGUGUAACCACUCCCGCCAGCCCUAACAAAACGGGUGAGGUGGGGACCAUGCCACUGAGAGAAACGAAAGGGAAUGAGGAGGUGCCGAGGGUCUUCGGCUCGGCACGCGGCGACACGGCCACGCGCUGGACGUUUACAACCACUAGAGCGAUGCCUCAAGCGAGGCCCCCUUCCAGAUCCCUCCCUUCCCGGACCUGACCGUCUGGAUCACCUUGAUCUUCUCGCCCUCGAUUUCCACGGUCUUCUCCCUGAAGUCCACGCCAAUGGUGGCCUCAGUCUUGUCCGGGAAGGUCCCCCCGCAGAAGCGGAAGGUCAGGCAGGU